rnacentral:rRNA from 1 species
GACAGAGGGUGCAAACGUUGUUCGGAAUUACUGGGCGUAAAGCGCGUGCAGGCUGCUCUGCAAGUCGGGUGUGAAAGCCCUGGGCUCAACCUAGGAAGUGCACUCGAAACUGCAGAGCUGGAGUCCUGGAGAGGAAGGCGGAAUUCUCGGUGUAGAGGUGAAAUUCGUAGAUAUCGAGAGGAACACCGGUGGCGAAGGCGGCCUUCUGGACAGUGACUGACGCUGAGACGCGAAAGCGUGGGGAGCAAACAGG